rnacentral:lncRNA from 1 species
GUGUGGGGUGGGGGGGGGGGGGAUACCUCAUGUUCCUUAGUUUGAUGAAGCAGCCGAGUUCGAUGAUUUAUUGGGGUAAUCUCAAUAGAGUGUGCCAUCCCUCUUAAAUAACUUUCUUGAACUGUAAUUCCUAUUAAAGACAGGUCGGGUUAAAAUGGUAUGGUAUCAAAUUCUUUUUAAUUUUCUAGACAUAGAUGGCUAUUAUUAUUAAUAAUCAAAUGACUUGCCAUAACCUGUUAGAAAUUUUAAUUCUUAGAUUGAAAGAACUAAAUGGUUCUAUAAAAAAAAUAAAAACAUCAGGAAGGGUACAUUAAUUUUUAAUUAAUUGAAAGCACAUAGCUCUAUUAUCCAUAUCUGAAACUUUAUGUACUUUGUCUUUUUAUAUCAUCAAAAAUUAAUGGGAAUUUGAUGGAGUAUUAGACUUUUCUACUCUUUAAGAAAAUGAAAACACGUGGGAGUAAUAAAAACUGUCAUAUGUAUGUUAGAGAGUGGGGUAUUUGUCUGUCAAUACGAUACGGUAUUUAAAUAUUUCGUUACAGUAUUUUUGGUAUUUGAUUUCUUAAAAUGUUAUACCAAUAUUAUACCUAAUUAAUUUGGUAUGAUUCGACUUUUCUCCUUUGAGUUUCAGUUUAUUCGGUCAGUAACUACGGUUAAUUUAGCUUGAAUAUUAAUUAAUGCAUAAAGCCUCGAGAAACUAAAAGCACAAACGAUUUCAAUAAGGUGGAUGUUGUAUAAAAAAUUUUAAGUUGUAACAACAUUUUCGAAAGAACACACAAACUGACGAUGAGUAAGAGUCUUAAAUCUAAAGCAAAAUUUUGAGACGAAAUAUAUCUAUUAAGGGCUUCUUUCGCCAAGCCGCCGAAAGUAACUUAUUUUGAAAAAUAUUUUUAAUCAAAAUUAUUUGUCAAAAAGGUUAUUUAGUAGCGGUUUAUGUUUGGAUAAAUCAUUUGAGAAGUACUUUCGUUAGUCAAUUAUGAAAAAGGAAGUUACUACUAGUUAAAUUGGUAAAGAUGAAUUUUUUAUUUGGGUAAUCUUGUUCUUAAAGAAAUUAAAAAUACUUAUUUUUGGAAAAGCUACUUUUUUAGCUUCCACUUAAAAACUAAAAUAUAACUUUUAUUACUACUCAAAAGCACUUAUUUAUUCACCAUAAACUUGGCCAACACCUUCAUUGUCUAAAGUAACUGUUUUUUAAAAAAAAUUUAAAAAAAUACUUUUGGCCAAUCAGAUACUUGACCAAAGAAUAUAACUUAUUUAUAUGUUUAGCAUAGAACGAGAAAAUUGCAAAAAGAAAAUGACCUUUUUUGGUUUUGCUGUUUCUUCUUUCGUUGGUUCGAUCUCUUGCUUCUCCCGAAUGAUGAGAGCUGGCCUGCAAAGUUAUAAGAGGAAUCAAAUCAAAUAUUCAUAUUAUAUAAUACAGAUAAUCGAAAAUAUCUGAUAUAUGGCCUUGUUUUGAACUUUCAACACAAAAUAUUGUUGGCCAAUGAGAGAAGAUAAUGAGAAAUCCGUUGACUCCGAGUCAAUGGUUAUUUUCCUUGUUUGCAUCAAUGGUCUCCGAUGAUAGAAGCUAAUAGAGAAUGAGAAAAGUCAAUGAUUAUUUUCCUCAAUAUUUUUC